rnacentral:rRNA from 1 species
UGGGGAAUAUUGCACAAUGGGGGAAACCCUGAUGCAGCGACGCCGCGUGAAGGAAGAAGUAUCUCGGUAUGUAAACUUCUAUCAGCAGGGAAGAUAGUGACGGUACCUGACUAAGAAGCCCCGGCUAACUACGUGCCAGCAGCCGCGGUAAUACGUAGGGGGCAAGCGUUAUCCGGAUUUACUGGGUGUAAAGGGAGCGUAGACGGAUUAGCAAGUCUGAUGUGAAAGGCAGGGGCUCAACCCCUGGACUGCAUUGGAAACUGCCAGUCUUGAGUGCCGGAGAGGUAAGCGGAAUUCCUAGUGUAACGGUGAAAUGCGUAGAUAUUAGGAGGAACACCAGUGGCGAAGGCGGCUUACUGGACGGCAACUGACGUUGAGGCUCGAAAGCGUGGGGAGCAAACAGG